rnacentral:rRNA from 1 species
UACGUAGGUCCCGAGCGUUGUCCGGAUUUAUUGGGCGUAAAGCGAGCGCAGGUGGUUUAUUAAGUCUGGUGUAAAAGGCAGUGGCUCAACCAUUGUAUGCAUUGGAAACUGGUAGACUUGAGUGCAGGAGAGGAGAGUGGAAUUCCAUGUGUAGCGGUGAAAUGCGUAGAUAUAUGGAGGAGCACCGGUGGCGAAAGCAGCUCUCUGGCCUGUAGCUGACACUGAGGCUCGAAAGCGUGGGGAGCAAACAGG